rnacentral:lncRNA from 1 species
CCAUUAUUGUGUCCCAGAGAUGAGGAAAUGACCAAGAUAUCCAUUUUGAUUGGUUUAAUGAACAGAGAGAAGAUGAUGACUUGCAAAACGAACUCAACCCCAGGCACAGUUGGAUCAGGACUUGUACUGUGUUUCCUCCUCCUCUGGGUUGUGCUUUCUGCCAAUUUCUCCGUGAAGCUGUGGUGGGGCUGACAUCACCGGGCUUAUAUCAUUUUCACAUCAAGCCUCAGGAGGUGUCUCCACUUGGAGUUGGACCUGGCUUUGUUCCCAGAACUUGUCUGCAUCCAUGGAGGAAUGGGACCAUUUUGCUUUUGUGUUUUGGCCAGGAAUUGCUUAAUUCUGAGAGUCUUGUGAGAAGACAUGGUGAGGAAUGGAGUCGAGGAUGUGCAGCAUGACAGUGGAGAGAAAGAGCUGCCCUGUUUCUUUUCAGUUAAUACGCUUCAGACCCCUUAU